rnacentral:snRNA from 1 species
GUCUCUUCGGAGACAUCCGAUAAAAUUGGAACGAUACAGAGAAGAAUAGCAUGGCCCCUGCGCAAGGAUGACACGCACAAGUCGAGAAAUGGUCUAAAAUUUC